AGAGUUUGAUCCCGGUUUAGAUUGAACGCUGGUGGCAUGCUUUACACAUGCAAGUCGAACGGUAGAGAUAGCUUGCUAUCUUGAGAGUGGCGCACGGGUGCGUAACGCGUAUGCAACCUGGCUAUAACAGGGGGAUAGCCCUGCGAAAGUGGGAUUAACACCGCAUAAGAUGGUACAACCGCAUGGUUGAGCCAUUAAAUCUUAGGAGGUUAUAGAUGGGCAUGCGUGCCAUUAGCUAGUUGGCGGGGUAACGGCCCACCAAGGCGACGAUGGCUAGGGGGUCUGAGAGGAUGAUCCCCCACACUGGUACUGAGACACGGACCAGACUCCUACGGGAGGCAGCAGUAGGGAAUAUUGGGCAAUGGACGGAAGUCUGACCCAGCCAUGCCGCGUGCAGGAGGAAGGCCCUCUGGGUUGUAAACUGCUUUUGUACGGGAAGAACAGCUUUGACGAGAUCAGGGUAUGACGGUACCGUAAGAAUAAGGAUCGGCUAACUACGUGCCAGCAGCCGCGGUAAUACGUAGGAUCCGAGCGUUGUCCGGAUUUAUUGGGUUUAAAGGGUGCGUAGGCGGUUUUAUAAGUCAGUGGUGAAAGUUGGCCGCUCAACGGUCAAAUUGCCAUAGAUACUGUAGAACUUGAGUUAAGUUGAGGUGGGCGGAAUGUGUCAUGUAGCGGUGAAAUGCAUAGAGAUGACACAGAACACCGAUUGCGUAGGCAGCUCACUAAGCUUAUACUGACGCUGAGGCACGAAAGUGUGGGGAUCAAACAGGAUUAGAUACCCUGGUAGUCCACACUGUAAACGUUGAUAACUUGCUGUUGGCGAUAUAUGGUCAGUGGCUAAGGGAAACCGAUAAGUUAUCCACCUGGGGAGUACGUCCGCAAGGAUGAAACUCAAAGGAAUUGACGGGGGCCCGCACAAGCGGAGGAGCAUGUGGUUUAAUUCGAUGAUACGCGAGGAACCUUACCUGGGCUUAAAUGGGAAUUGACUAUUGCAGAGAUGCGGUAUUCCUUCGGGACAAUUUUCAAGGUGCUGCAUGGCUGUCGUCAGCUCGUGCCGUGAGGUGUUGGGUUAAGUCCCGCAACGAGCGCAACCCCUAUUGUUAGUUGCCAACAGGUCAAGCUGGGAACUCUAACAAGACUGCCUGCGCAAGCAGAAGGAAGGAGGGGAUGACGUCAAGUCAUCAUGGCCCUUACGCCCAGGGCUACACACGUGCUACAAUGGUUGGUACAGAGGGCAGCUAGGCAGUAAUGUCAUGCGAAUCUCGAAAGCCAAUCUCAGUUCGGAUUGAGGUCUGCAACUCGACCUCAUGAAGUCGGAUUCGCUAGUAAUCGCGUAUCAGCAAUGACGCGGUGAAUACGUUCCCGGGCCUUGUACACACCGCCCGUCAAGCCAUGAAAGUUGGGGGUGCCUGAAGUCGAUACCCGCAAGGAGUCGCCUAGGGCAAAACCGAUAAUUAGGGAAUAUCGUGACUGGGAAACAGAUCGGAA
rnacentral:rRNA from 1 species